rnacentral:rRNA from 1 species
GACGAACGCUGGCGGCGUGCUUAACACAUGCAAGUCGAACGAUGAAGAAGAGCUUGCUCUUCGGAUUAGUGGCGAACGGGUGAGUAACACGUGACUAACCUGCCCCUUUCUCUGGGAUAACGCUCCGAAAGGAGUGCUAAUACCGGAUACUCACAUCGAGGCACAUGCCUUGAUGUGGAAAGUUUUUCGGAAAGGGAUGGAGUCGCGGCCUAUCAGCUUGUUGGUGAGGUAACGGCUCACCAAGGCGACAACGGGUAGCCGGCCUGAGAGGGCGACCGGCCACACUGGGACUGAGACACGGCCCAGACUCCUACGGGAGGCAGCAGUGGGGAAUAUUGCACAAUGGGCGAAAGCCUGAUGCAGCGACGCCGCGUGAGGGAUGAAGGUCUUCGGAUUGUAAACCUCUUUCAGUAGGGACGAAGCGAAAGUGACGGUACCUAAAGAAGAAGCACCGGCUAACUACGUGCCAGCAGCCGCCGUAA